rnacentral:rRNA from 1 species
GAUGAACGCUGGCGGCGUGCCUAAUACAUGCAAGUCGAGCGAACAGACGAGGAGCUUGCUCCUCUGACGUUAGCGGCGGACGGGUGAGUAACACGUGGAUAACCUACCUAUAAGACUGGGAUAACUUCGGGAAACCGGAGCUAAUACCGGAUAAUAUAUUGAACCGCAUGGUUCAAUAGUGAAAGACGGUUUUGCUGUCACUUAUAGAUGGACCCGCGCCGCAUUAGUUAGUUGGUAAGGUAACGGCUUACCAAGGCAACGAUGCGUAGCCGACCUGAGAGGGUGCUCGGCCCCCUUGGACCUGAGACCCGGUCCAGCAUCCUAGGGAAGGCAGCAGGAGGGAUUCUUCCGCAAUGGGCGAAAGCUUGACCGAGCAACGCCGCGUGGGUGAUGAAGGUCUUCGGAUCGUAAAACUCUGUUAUUAGGGAAGAACAAAUGUGUAAGUAACUAUGCACGUCUGGACGGUACCUAAUCAGAAAGCCCCGGCUAACUCCGG